rnacentral:rRNA from 1 species
CGGGGGGAGCAAGCGUUGUUCGGAUUUAUUGGGCGUAAAGAGCGUGUAGGCGGCCAGGUAGGUCCGGUGUGAAAACUCGAGGCUUAACCUCGAGAUGUCAUCGGAAACCAUCUGGCUAGAGUCCGGAAGAGGAGAGUGGAAUUCCUGGUGUAGCGGUGAAAUGCGCAGAUAUCAGGAAGAACACCAAUGGCGAAAGCAGCUCUCUGGGACGGUACUGACGCUGAGACGCGAAAGCGUGGGGAGCGAACAGGAUUAGAUACCCUGGUAGUCCACGCCGUAAACGAUGGGCGCUAGGUGUGGGCGGUGUCGACUCCGUCCGUGCCGAAGCUAACGCAUUAAGCGCCCCGCCUGGGGAGUACGGCCGCAAGGCUA